UACAAUUUUGUUAAUAAUACUUCUAAUUUAACGGGACUUCCCGUAAUUUUGUUUCGUUCUUGAGGUAGAACAUGGCAGGAAAUAUCUUGCUCAAGAUUUAGGGUAGUCUGACUAGAGAAAUGUUAACCUUACAAAAGAUUGCACCUAAAAGUACUGCUCUUAAGUACCUGUAGUGUUCUUGUGGUGAGUAAGGUAGCCCAACAUAAGUGGGAGAGUCGAGAAUAGAGCAGACAACGCACUUUGAACCCUCCUGAUGUUCCAAGAGUCCAUAGUUUACAGUAUCCAUCGCUUACCAUAUGGUGAACUGUACACUUUUCUUUAUAAAUAAAUAAAUGUAAUAAAUUUCGUAACUUAAUUAGAAUCUUGAAUGACUGGCAAACUCUAAUAAAUAAUGUUAAUUUCAACAUGUUGUAAUGUUAAAGAAAACGAUCUUAUGUUAACGAUCUCGAUCUUAAUGUUAUCUUCAUAACUAUAUACAUAUUCAUAUAUAUAUAUAGCUUAGCAGCCUUCAAAGCAACACUGGUUCGGAAAAAUUGUUAAAUGAAUGUGCUUUUGAUAGUUCCAAUAACGUCAAAAGAUGGAAGUUUCUUUUUCUGUUAUGAGCGGCUCUUCAUAUUUGUGGUUUGUCUGGCCGUUUGUCCUAGUAUGUCUUUCAAACGUGGCUCAUAAAGCAAGUUAAGGUAGUGGUAGUGAUUCUCAUUAUAAAUGUCUAAUUGUUACUCUUGUUACAAAAAUUGUUCAAAAUAAAAUAUUUUAUAAUUUGUUCACA